rnacentral:rRNA from 1 species
AACGAACGCUGGCGGCAUGCCUAACACAUGCAAGUCGAACGAGACCUUCGGGUCUAGUGGCGCACGGGUGCGUAACGCGUGGGAACCUGCCUUUAGGUUCGGAAUAACUCAGAGAAAUUUGAGAUAAUACCGGAUGAUGUCUUCGGACCAAAGAUUUAUCGCCUUGAGGUGGGCCCGCGUUGGAUUAGCUAGUUGGUGGGGUAAAGGCCUACCAAGGCGACGAUCCAUAGCUGGUCUGAGAGGAUGAUCAGCCACACUGGGACUGAGACACGGCCCAGACUCCUGCGGAUGGCAGCAGGGGGGACGAUUGGACACUGGGCGAAAGCCUGAUCCAGCAGUGCCGCGUGAGUGAUGAAGGCCUUAGGAUUGUAAAGCUCUUUUACCCGAGAUGUUAUUGACAGUAUCGGGAGAAUAGGCACCGGCUAACUCCUU